UCUCCUUCCCUAACCGAGACACCUAUCUCUCUCUCCUCCCUUAUUUUCACCGACAAACACCACCACUUCCACCUUCUUCUUCGGCGAGCGGCACCCCGCUCUGGCCACCUCCCUCUCUACCAACGAAGAGAAUAUUUUCCCAACUCCCAUGAGUGCAUCUUCUCGGACCUUCGCCGUCUCUCCCGCUCUCUCUCCUGAGAUCCUUCCAUUACGAAGCCAACUGUAACCAAACCCCAAAAUCAAAGGUUUUUCGUCACUGAAAGCGAAAUCUGGUGGGCCAGAACCAAGGCCCAGAUGGGGCGGCUUCGAUCACGAGAUUUCAGGCCAAAAAACUGUGUCAUGGGACAAGUCAAGAUCCUAAAGCCAGGCGAGGAACUGAGGCUGCCGCCGACGAAUUUGGUUCUGGGUCCCACAGAUCUGUUGGGUCUCGACUCGGACACGGUCUAGAGGUAUUUUCAUCUCUUUUUCCUUCUCCAUGUGUGUUGCAUGUGUGCUUUUAUGACUUUACCGUCACUCCGCUCGCUCCAUUACAUGUAAUUUUGUGAUGAUUUCUUGCAUUUAGGUUUCAUUGUGUGCUUUUGUGCUUCUGUGUUCGAUUUGUGUGGGUAGACUCAUUUAGGGCUACUAUUUUUAGUUGCUGAUGUUUUCCCCCUUCCUGAUUUUUGUUGCAUGUUCGCUUUUGUGGCUUUAUUCUGAAAUCGUGUAGUAUUCAUUUUCAUUUGUUGUUUUUGUGACAGAUUUUGAGGAAUUUUGAUGGCUGGUCUGGUUGGUUUGGUUGAUUUGCCUGUGAUGAUUUACAUCUCUUGAGUUCGUGUGUGUCGAGAAAAUGGGACCCAUUUCUUGGCUUGACAAGUCUGAGGGCCUGUACAUGUGGAAGAGUAGACAGAUUGGCCCUCUCUCAAUGGGGCAACUAUUUUUCCAGCCAUGGUGGUAAACACCUUUUCUUCUGCUAUCAAAAUGCAGAUCUGAUCGAUUUCUUGGCUUGGCAAGUCUGAGGGCCCGUGGGAGAGUAGACUGAUCGGGCAUUCUUGCAGAAAUUGUAGAAUUUGUGAUGGGAAAGGAACUUAUCCCAGCUGUGAUGGGGAGAUAUGGGGUGUUAGACGACGUGUGAUAGUCCCAAUAUUGCAUCAGAAGGUAUCAUGAUGGCUUCUUACGUUCACUUCUGUUUGGUUUGAUCUUUUUCUUUCCUGUAUUGGUGUUUAGUGUCUUUUUAACUCUGUUGGUUGAAAAUUGUUAGUUUGUGAAAUUUCCUGAGUUCGAACUAUUUUAGUUCCAGCUUAUUUUCAAAGAUAAAAUCGCUCUAUCUGUGUAUUGUGUGAUCUUUAUAAUCUGUGGUAUAGUAUGUGGCAGUAAUGAUUAGCUUGUUUGGACAAGCUACGGAUAGACUAUGCCAGAAGCUCGAUGAGGCCGAUUCAAACAAAGAAGAUGUAGAGAUGGAGUCACUUUUCUCCUGUUAGAAUUGAAUAGGAAAGUUGGUUGUUCGGUUUAAGGAUGAGGAGUGGGUUAAAGUGUUGGAUGUUGUUUCCAUUCUAUUUUUUUUGGGUUUGAGAGUUGGAUGUUGUUUGCAUUCUAUUUUUGUCCCCCUUCAUUUUUUCAUUCUUUCCAUUGUAUAUCCAGCUUUGUUGUGCAGCUACCUAAUAAGAUAGCAUGAGAUUUUAUGAUAAUUAUGCACAUACAGAUGGUGCUUUGGAUAAAGCGAGAAAAGACAAGAAGAGGCAGCUUAAAGAUACAUUGAAUCUUGUUCUUAAGAAGAGGAAGGUAAUGGCAAAACUUUGACAACUAAUACAUUGGCUAGCAUAAUUACCCUCGGUCUAUGUUUUGGACAUUAACUCUUUCUGACUCUUUGAUAUGUUUCUAUACUCUUAGAGCUCAUGAUAAUAGUUAAUUGAAAUCUUUUGCUCUUCAUUGCUA